AUUUAGCUCUUAGGUGGAUUUUGCUGAAAUGUUCUAUUUGUCGAGCAGUGAUUUGUACCAGGUAAUGUGAACUAGGUUGCCCUCCAUCUCUUUACAGAUUACACCCCAUUUCCUUUACUGUGCUGCUAAGUAAUUCUUAGGGAAUUAUUCCCCCUCCAAAUUCUCUCUGCGAACAAAAUGAUCUGCUACAUAUGCUUCCACUUUAUGUGCUGCGGGACAGCCGUGGGCUUCUUAAGGCUGCCUGCAUUUCCAACUGUUCAGGCUGGAACUGUAAUCUUUCCACCCACCCCUUUCCCGUCAGGUAAAGAAAAUGUUCAUACCUCAGGUUUUGUUACCAAGCAACAGAGUUGCAUUUGCCAAUUGCCACCAUUUCCUUCUCAUAGUAUUACAGGCCUUAUUAUUAACAUUUAGUUCAGAGAAAUUGCUAUCAUUAUGUGAAGUAACUUCCUUUAGAGGUUAUUCAUUAACCUUAGGUAUUUUACUGUGUAAUUAUAAUUGCCAAGUGCCGCGGGCUUGGAAAACGUUUGAACUCCUGAAGGUAUUAGGGGACGGCAGAAAGGAUAUUAUCUGAUUUUUCUUCCUUUUCCAGUUAAGGAUUAAUCAAGGUGCCCUAUUUCCCCUGCAGAGAUAUCUACUUUUCCAAAAGAAUAAACUCUUCCCCUGCCUCUGUCCAGACUGUCCACCGUAAACUUAGAAGCAAACCUUGGAGGAACUUGCCUGUUAGCAUGUGAUUUUCACAACUUCUGCAGGGCAGAGCGCAAAUUGCUCCCCCGCUGUCUUAGGAAAAAAUUGAGGGGAUACUGAGAAGACCCAGUGGUUGAUAAAUGGUUGGCAGGCACACUCGUCAUACGUGGGGCUCUGUGAAGACCUUGCACAAUGCCUGGAAUUGUAUAUGUGCACGGCCUCGUUCCGACCAACAGAAGACCUUCAUCCUAUUGCUCACUCGAUGGCUCCCUGAAAGUAGUUUUUCACUCCCUAGCUUUGCAGGAGCCAGGUGUGCAUUCCACAAUACGCCUAUUAUACAGCCAUUCUCAGUAGACAUUGCUUAUACAAUGACCCUUCUAAUUUGUCCCACUGCAGUGUGGGUGCCAAGGACUGAGGUCCCCACCCAGUACAACUUCAGGUAUGUAUUUCACAUAUAUUCGCAGGCAAAAAAUGCACCUCCCUCUUCUUCUCUCUUUGUUUCAAGACAAAAGUAACUGGCAUUCCACCCCGCCCUCUCCCCACCAGCCCCCAACUACAUGUGCCUGCAGCACGGGCGCCCUAGAAAGGGAAACCUGUUUUCCUUCUCCCAGGUUUCUGGUUUCUCCACCCAGUCCCCCACAGUCCUCCACUUCCCGCACCCAGUCACUCCGGCCUCUACCCAGACUCUGAGAAGUGGCCGACAUUCCAGGUAACCUGAUUCCCCAGACGGGAUAGGCGGCGGCCUGCUGCUGCUGCUGCUCCUGCUGAAGGCGCGACCACGUGACCUUUCCUGCCUGCACCGGGGAAAUGCAUACCUUGUUCAGAAAACUAGGGGACAGAGUGUGAGCUCUGUGAAAACAAGGACCUCAUCUGUCUCCUUCACCACUGGAACUCCAGCAUCCAGAAUAGUCCCUGGCACUGAUGAGCUGUGUGUCUGUGAUCUGUCGAUGAGGGUAGCGAAGGACUACUCAAUCAAUUGGGGUGUACAAAGCGGAGUUUGAGACGGGCAUGCUGAUGCAAGAGGUGGGCUCCAUGGCCUUGGGCAGGUCUGCUCCUGUGGAUUUUCUAGGUACAGCCCUCCUUCCUGCUGCUUUCAUAGGCUGGUAAUGAGUGUCUGUGGCUUUUCCAGGUACCUGGCACAAGCUGUUGGUGGAUCUAUCAUUCUGGGUUCUGGAGGAUGGUGUCUCUCUUCUCACAGUUCCAAUAGGCAGUGGCCCAGUGGGGACUGUGUGUGUGAGCUCCAAUCUCACAUUUCCUUUUCCCCCUUGCUCUAGCAGAUGUUCUCCAUGAAAGCUCUAUCCCUGCAGCAAACUUUUGCCUUGAUACCCAGGUGUUUCCAUACAUCUUCUGAAAUCUAG